CAGUUCCAAAAAGGACAGCAACGCCUUGACUUACCCAGCAAAGCACUUGUGCCAUUAAAAGGGCUUUUUAGUCCAUUAACUGCCACACCAUUUAGUGACUAACAAAUCACAUUGCAAUACGUAUGUAUGUUACUAAUUGUCAGGGCAACAAAGUUACACUAGUUAGUAAAUUGCAAUUUUGGCUUUACUUUGCUGGAAUUGCGUCUAGCAAACAGAGCUCAAUGCUCCUGAUCAAUACAGCAAUAAAAUGAUAACAAUUGCAAUAACCAUGUCAAUAGGCUCCCUGCAGAAAUAAACAUUGACUUGC